rnacentral:rRNA from 1 species
UCUGGUAGGUGGGGGAAAGCAGCCGCGGUAAUACGUAGGUGGCAAGCGUUGUCCGGAAUUAUUGGGCGUAAAGCGCGCGCAGGCGGCUUCUUAAGUCCAUCUUAAAAGUGCGGGGCUUAACCCCGUGAUGGGAUGGAAACUGGGAGGCUGGAGUAUCGGAGAGGAAAGUGGAAUUCCUAGUGUAGCGGUGAAAUGCGUAGAGAUUAGGAAGAACACCGGUGGCGAAGGCGACUUUCUGGACGACAACUGACGCUGAGGCGCGAAAGCGUGGGGAGCAAACAGG